rnacentral:rRNA from 1 species
AUUUAUAAGUAAAAUUUAGCUAAACUUGUGCCAGCAGCUGCGGUUAUACAAGUAAAUUGUGCUAAGUUUAAUAAAAUAAAAUUUUAUUAGUUUAUAUUUUUUUUGUAAAUUUUUAGGUGAAAUUAUAAUUUAUAUUAAAGUAUUAAAGAAUUUUUUAUAAUAUUAUGUUAAAAACUAGGAUUAGAUACCCUAUUAUUAUAUGUAUAGAUUAGUAGUAGGUGAAUAACAUGAAAUUAAAAUAAUUUGGCGGUAAUUUAAUUUAAUUAGAGGAAUUUAUUUUUAUUGAAGGAUAUGACGCCAGUAUCUUACUUAUUUUAGGAUUUGUAUAUCGUUAUUUUAAAUAUAUUUUAUGAUUAUUUUUUUAAUUUUUAAAAGAAAAUAAAUUAGAUCAAGAUGCAGUUUAUGAAUAAGAUAAAAUGAAUUAUAUAAUAUAGAUAUUAGCAAUAAUAAUUGUGAAUUGGUUAUUAAAGUUAGAUUUAAAAGUAAAAUAUUAUAAAUUAUGAUUUUUUGAAUUUAACUCUAGAUUAUGCACAUAUUGCCCGUCGCUUUCAUUAUGAAAUAAGUCGUAACAAAGUAAAAACACUUGAAAGUGUUUUU